rnacentral:rRNA from 1 species
AAUCCAGACUCCUACGGGAGGCAGCAGUGGGGAAUAUUGCACAAUGGGGGAAACCCUGAUGCAGCGACGCCGCGUGAGCGAUGAAGUAUUUCGGUAUGUAAAGCUCUAUCAGCAGGGAAGAAAAUGACGGUACCUGACUAAGAAGCCCCGGCUAACUACGUGCCAGCAGCCGCGGUAAUACGUAGGGGGCAAGCGUUAUCCGGAUUUACUGGGUGUAAAGGGAGCGUAGACGGCGAUGCAAGCCAGAUGUGAAAGCCCGGGGCUCAACCCCGGGACUGCAUUUGGAACUGUAUAGCUAGAGUGUCGGAGAGGCAGGCGGAAUUCCUGGUGUAGCGGUGAAAUGCGUAGAUAUCAGGAGGAACACCGGUGGCGAAGGCGGCCUGCUGGACUGCAACUGACGUUGAGGCCCGAAAGCGUGGGGAGCAAACAGGAUUAGAUACCCCCGUA